UACCCCGUGGUGUAAUCGGUAACACAACGGAUUUUGGUUCCGUUUUUCUAGGUUCGAGUCCUAGCGGGGUAGCCA
rnacentral:tRNA from 1 species